CCCUAUAAAAAAUCUAAUCUUACCAAAGUGUUCACCUCUUCCUCCUCUUCAUUUCUAUGUCACUUUUCAUGGAGUAAAUCAAGGAUCUCUUAUUCAAUCACCAAAAGCUCCAAGAAAACGUGAUUUCUAGUUACCUUAAGGCGUAAAAGUGCUUCUGGAAGCUUGUUUUUGGUGCAAUCUCGGACAGCAGCAAAGGAG